AGCUCAGAGAUAUUGUUCUGUGGAAAAGUCACUCUGAAAUAUUCAAGUUAAUUCAUUAUAUAAGAGAAAUUCUAAGUGAUAAAUAUCUGAAGAAGAUGGUUCUGGACAUAAGCACGCAGGCGAUAAAGGCAAAUAUAAAUAAAAUAUAUGCUAGGAUAAGAGAAUUUGAAGAAGAAUUAGAGAGGAAUGCCGAUUAUGAAACCUGCAGCAGAAUUCAGGCUGAAGUUAAUCAAAUGCGCGCUUAUCUUAAACAGAUAUUAGACUUACUAAAGGAAGACCAAAGCAGCAAUUAACACUGAAACAAAGUCAUUGGGACCCAAAGAAGGCAAUACAGAACCAGAGAAAUGUCAUUGCCGAUCAAUUAGUGGAUCGAAUUCAGGCCCACUUCCACGUAAUCUUCCACGGACAGCACUAAGCAACUCUUAUACUCGUAUACUUCCAUGAACUAUCAAAAAUGAAACAAAGGCAUUAGGAUCCAAACGAAGACAGUGACACGAAGGCAUCCAAAGCCAGAUACAAAUCUCAGCCGAUCGAUCAGUGGAUUAAAUUCAGGCUCACUUGCACGUAACCUUCCACGGAAAACACUCACAAGUUCUUAGAUUCGUACAACCACACAACAUAAAGCAGUUUAUUCCUUUAGAUACUGGUAAUAUGCGUACAGUAUUAUGGCGGACAACAGAGAGAACAUUUUUGAGUGGAACGGAUGCCUGACUCCGGUUACUGCAAUAAAUACCUCAACUAUAUAGAUUACAUUGCCAAUAAAACAAGUCACUCCCACAGACAUCGUUUGAUAGUUAUCCAGCUUCCAGAUCCCUGUAGUGAUGUCCCUAAAUAUCAUAGUUUUAUCCUAUCUCAGUUUCCUGAUGCUUCAAUGCUUCCACAGAGUUUUCCCAAAAGAAUUAUUGAAUCUGUCUGUUCAUUCAAAAAGGUUUCCAGAUCCCAUUCAAAAUUGCCAUUCCAUUUCCAAUGUGUGGUGUCCGUGCCAGUGAUUUUUGCUGCCACUGCUUCGACUUUUCCUUGUUCUGCUUUUCACCUCCUACACACUGCACUGCUUGCUUGUCGCUGCUAAUUUACUGUUAUGACAUCAGCUGGCAGGCAGCAGCAGAAGCAGCAGCAUGGUUGUGUUUUCGCUGAGGUUAAGUCGAAGGUUAAGGUGGAACUGGAAACUGCUUGGAAUUGCUUGUAAUUGUUCUUGUUGCCGCCUGACGCUGACGUUGUCCGAAGCGCCUGUUUAAAUGUUUGUCAAAGGAAAAAGACGUGUCAACUGGCGCCGUUGUUGCUGUUUGGUCCCCCCAUUGCCACCACUCACUCUCCCACCCUUCCGCUCUCCCGCAGUGCUGUCUCUCAUCUCCAUCUUCGAAAAUGAGGCCGAUUUUUUGAAAAUUUAAUGAUGUAACCAUCAUGAUAUUUUGCGAAAAUCGUGAAAAAGUGGAUGUCCUUUUUUAAUAUGGCAAUCCACUCACAGGACUCUCCUGAUCACGAAAAGACAUGCCAUGCCCCGAUCGGCUGCCGUAUGGCAGAGAUAAAGCGUACAGAACAAACCUCUUUGAUAUAUGCCAGAUAACAGAUAUUGAUGGUGAACCGAAAAAAUCUAUGGUCGGCUUAUUUUUCUCCCAUCGAUAGUAUCGAUAGCACUAUUGAUUUAAGUUCUGCGAUGCACCCUGUCUAUAGUCAAAGUUAUAGUAAAAUGUGCCAAGAAAAUCACAGCCGAUUGAUACAUAGACACCUUGGAAAAAUCGUUACUUCUAAUUAAAAAAUCAAGGAAAAGCAAGCUCAGAGAUAUUGUUCUGUGGAAAAGUCACUCUGAAAUAUUCAAGUUAAUUCAUUAUAUAAAAGAAAUUCUAAGUGAUAAAUAUCUGAAGAAGAUGGCUCUGGACAUAAGCACGCAGGCGAUAAAGGCAAAUAUAAAUAAAAUAUAUGCCAGGAUAAGAGAAUUUGAAGAAGAAUUAGAGAGGAAUGCCGAUUAUGAAACCUGCAGCAGAAUUCAGGCUGAAGUUAAUCAAAUGCGCGCUUAUCUUAAACAGAUAUUAGACUUACUAAAGGAAGACCAAAGCAGCAAUUAACACUGAAACAAAGUCAUUGGGACCCAAAGAAGGCAAUACAGAACCAGAGAAAAGUUAUUGCCGAUCAAUUAGUGGAUCGAAUUCAGGCCCACUUCCACGUAAUCUUCCACGGACAGCACUAAGCAACUCUUAUACUCGUAUACUUCCAUGAACUAUCAAAGAUGAAACAAAGGCAUUAGGAUCCAAACGAAGACAGUGACACGAAGGCAUCCAAAGCCAGAUACAAAUCUCAGCCGAUCGAUCAGUGGAUUAAAUUCAGGCUCACUUGCACGUAACCUUCCACGGAAAACACUCACAAGUUCUUAGAUUGGUACAACCACACAACAUAAAGCAGUUUAUUCCUUUAGAUACUGGUAAUAUGCGUACAGUAUUAUGGCGGACAACAGAGAGAACAUUUUUGAGUGGAACGGAUGCCUGACUCCGGUUACUGCAAUAAAUACCUCAACUAUAUAGAUUCCAUUGCCAAUAAAACAAGUCACUCCCACAGACAUCGUUUGAUAGUUAUCUAGCUUCCAGAUCCCUGUAGUGAUGUCCCUAAAUAUCAUAGUUUUAUCCUAUCUCAGUUUCCUGAUGCUUCAAUGCUUCCACAGAGUUUUCCCAAAAGAAUUAUUGAAUCUGUCUGUUCAUUCAAAAAGGUUUCCAGAUCCCAUUCAAAAUUGCCAUUCCAUUUCCAAUGUGUGGUGUCCGUGCCAGUGAUUUUUGCUGCCACUGCUUCGACUUUUCCUUGUUCUGCUUUUCACCUCCUACACACUGCACUGCUUGCUUGUCGCUGCUAAUUUACUGUUAUGACAUCAGCUGGCAGGCAGCAGCAGAAGCAGCAGCAUGGUUGUGUUUUCGCUGAGGUUAAGUCGAAGGUUAAGGUGGAACUGGAAACUGCUUGGAAUUGCUUGUAAUUGUUCUUGUUGCCGCCUGACGCUGACGCUGACGUUGUCCGAAGCGCCCGUUUAAAUGUUUGUCAAAGGAAAAAGACGUGUCAACUGGCGCCGUUGUUGCUGUUUGGUCCCCCCAUUGCCACCACUCACUCUCCCGCCCUUCCGCUCUCCCGCAGUGCUGUCUCUCAUCUCCAUCUUCGAAAAUGAGGCCGAUUUUUUGAAAAUUUAAUGAUGUAACCAUCAUGAUAUUUUGCGAAAAUCGUGAAAAAGUGGAUGUCCUUUUUUAAUAUGGCAAUCCACUCACAGGACUCUCCUGAUCACGAAAAGACAUGCCAUGCCCCGAUCGGCUGCCGUAUGGCAGAGAUAAAGCGUACAGAACAAACCUCUUUGAUAUAUGCCAGAUAACAGAUAUUGAUGGUGAACCGAAAAAAUCUAUGGUCGGCUUAUUUUUCACCCAUCGAUAGUAUCGAUAGCACUAUUGAUUUAAGUUCUGCGAUGCACCCUGUCUAUAGUCAAAGUUAUGGUAAAAUGUGCCAAGAAAAUCACAGCCGAUUGAAACAUAUAGACACCUUGGAAAAAUCCUUACUUCUAAUUAAAAAAUCAAGGAAAAGCAAGCUCAGAGAUAUUGUUCUGUGGAAAAGUCACUCUGAAAUAUUCAAGUUAAUUCAUUAUAUAAAAGAAAUUCUAAGUGAUAAAUAUCUGAAGAAGAUGGCUCUGGACAUAAGCACGCAGGCGAUAAACGCAAAUAUAAAUAAAAUAUAUGCUAGGAUAAGAGAAUUUGAAGAAGAAUUAGAGAGGAAUGCCGAUUAUGAGACCUGCAGCAGAAUUCAGGCUGAAGUUAAUCAAAUGCGCGCUUAUCUUAAACAGAUAUUAGACUUACUAAGGAAGACCAAAGCAGCAAUUAACACUGAAACAAAGUCAUUGGGACCCAAAGAAGGCCGCGACGGACGCGACGGACGCGACAGGAAAAAGGUUCGUAUACUUCCAUGAACUAUCAAAAAUGAAACAAAGGCAUUAGGAUCCAAACGAAGACAGUGACACGAAGGCAUCCAAAGCCAGAUACAAAUCUCAGCCGAUCGAUCAGUGGAUUAAAUUCAGGCUCACUUGCACGUAACCUUCCACGGAAAACACUCACAAGUUCUUAGAUUCGUACAACCACACAACAUAAAGCAGUUUAUUCCUUUAGAUACUGGUAAUAUGCGUACAGUAUUAUGGCGGACAACAGAGAGAACAUUUUUGAGUGGAACGGAUGCCUGACUCCGGUUACUGCAAUAAAUACCUCAACUAUAUAGAUUACAUUGCCAAUAAAACAAGUCACUCCCA